rnacentral:rRNA from 1 species
ACUCAAAUGAAUUGACGGGGACCCGCACAACCGGUGGAGCGUGUGGUUCAAUUCGAGACAAAACGAAAAACCUCACCAGGGCUUGACAUGGUACCGUACAUUUCCCUGGAAACAGGGAGAAAUCCGCAAGGAUGGUAUCACAGGUGAUGCAUGGCUGUCGUCAGCUCGUGCCGUGAGGUGUUCCCUUAAGUGGGGAAACGAGCGCAACCCGCGUCUAAUGUUACAUAUUCAUUAGAGACUGACCUAGUUUAUACUAGGAAGGAAGGAGCGGAAGAUGUCAAGUCAGCACGUCCCUUAUGCCCUGGGCUACACACACACUACAAUGGCGAAUAACAAUGGGCCGCAAGCUAGCAAUAGCAAGCAAAUCCCUUAAAUUUCGCCUCAGUUCAGAUUGGGGUCUGAAACCCGACCCCAUGAAGUCGGAAUCGGUAGUAAUCGCGGAUCAGCAUGCCGCGGUGAAUACGUUCUCGGGUCUUGCACACACCGCCCGU